UACGGAGGAUCCAAGCGUUAUCCGGAUUUAUUGGGUUUAAAGGGUGCGUAGGCGGAUCGAUAAGUUAGAGGUGAAAUGUCCGAGCUCAACUCGGGAACUGCCUCUAAUACUGUUGAUCUAGAGAGUAGAUGCGGUAGGCGGAAUGUAUGGUGUAGCGGUGAAAUGCUUAGAGAUCAUACAGAACACCGAUUGCGAAGGCAGCUUACCAAUCUAUAUCUGACGUUGAGGCACGAAAGCGUGGGGAGCAAACAGG
rnacentral:rRNA from 1 species